AGAUUGAACGCUGGCGGCAUGCCUUACACAUGCAAGUCGAACGGUAGAGUAGCAAUACUCGAGAGUGGCGAACGGGUGAGUAAUAUAUCGGAACGUGCCCAGUCGUGGGGGAUAACGUAGAGAAAUUUACGCUAAUACCGCAUACGAUCUAAGGAUGAAAGCGGGGGAUCGCAAGACCUCGCGCGAUUGGAGCGGCUGAUAUCAGAUUAGGUUGUUGGUGAGGUAAAAGCUCACCAAGCCGACGAUCUGUAGCUGGUUUGAGAGGACGACCAGCCACACUGGGACUGAGACACGGCCCAGACUCCUACGGGAGCAGCAGUGGGAAUUUUGGACAAUGGGCGAAAGCCUGAUCCAGCAAUGCCGCGUGCAGGAAGAAGGCCUUCGGUUGUAAACUGUCUUUGUACGGAACGAAACGGUCCGUUUACUAAAUAAAGAAGGACUAAGUAGAACGGUAACCGUAAAGAAUAAAGCAACCGGCUAACUACGUGUACAGACGAGCCGCGGUAAUCGUGA
rnacentral:rRNA from 1 species